UUCAAGGUCCAUAUUUAUAUGGAGCAAUAAAAGGCCAAGAGUAAGAUACUUGGCCCUGCAGCUGCCUGGGGAUCGGGGACGUAUACCUUGCCUGCCUUGCCUGGUGGAUUAUUACUUGUCUGCCCAGAUUAGACCUCUGGUGUGCUGGUGUAACCCAGCCUAUGAGGCUAAAUGGAAGGACAUUGAGCUUUCCUUGUUGGACAUCCCUAUACAGUCUGUUCUGGGAUGCCUGGAUGGGCUGCCCCAAGUAUACCAAUUACAAAUUCUGCGUUUGUUUCUCUUUGAAAAAGUGGGCAGAGAUAGUUAAAAAGUUGAGUAUUGAGUUGGCCUGCGUACCACCCGCGUUUCCUUCCAGCAUCGAUAGACCACAAAUAUAGAAGAUGAGCGAAACAGGGAAUCACUGCAUUCUGUAAUAUAAUUAAAAAUGGGGAGUUAGUAAAAUUUGAGGAUUUGUGCCGGACUUAUGACGUGGGCAGAGAAGAUUUUUACUGUUAUUUACAGGUUUGAAGUUUCUUCAGGAAAGAAAUCAAAACUUAUGACUUGGAUACAGAGCCAGGAAUAGUACAAAUAUUUAUGGAUUCAUAUGCUGGUAAAAGUACAAAAGGCACUAUCGGCAAACUUUAUAGAAAUUUAGCAUCUAUGAAUAAGAACGCAACUGACUAUAUCAGACAACGAUGGGAAAAGAAAGCAAAUGCAAUAAUUUUACUCGAGGUCUGGCUGCGAAUUUGGAGGAAUAUUCUAUCCACCGCAAAUUCUUUACAUGGCACGAUUUCUGUUGGAAUAAUCUAAUCAGAUUUUUUAUUACGCCAAAGCAGAAAUCGAAGCUGGGUGGUUCUCAGUUCUCUUGCUGGAGGGAAUGCAGUGUGGUCUCUGCAGACUGCUUUCAUAUCUUUUGGGACUGUCCACAGUUGAAAACCUUCUGGAAGGAUGUUAAUCGAGUAAUCUAUGAAAUUCUGGGUAUAACAUUAGUCUUUUCAUUUCCUGCUAUGUACUUUGAAAUACUUCCUGACAGACUCAAUAAUAAGGACACAUACAGUAUAUGUUGAAGAUAUUUCUGAUUGCAAGCAAUACGGCUACUAAAUAAUGGUUCCAACCUGGACCCCCUACUCUGAAGCUUCUUGUGAAUAUCAUAAACCUGAUCCACAAUAUGGAAAUGUUGACUUUUACAAUACGUAAAGAGAAAGGAGAGAGACUUUGGGAAAAAUGGGAUCAUUUUAUAACCAAAAGUGUCUAACAGUUGAUGACUGUGAUUCUACAUUACUCAAACAGACAUCUGGGAGUUUUCCUCUGUAUUUAUUUUUUGUAACUCCAUGCAGUGAAAUUUCUAUAAAUUUGUAAUGGUCAUCAGUAUGACUGCCUGCUGCCUGGCCUACUCCUCAUGUUCUGAUUGUAUCCAUGUGUAUGUUUAAAAACAAAUAAAAAUAAAGUA